rnacentral:rRNA from 1 species
AACGAACGCUGGCGGCGUGCCUAACACAUGCAAGUCGAGCGCGAAUGGAGCAAUCCUAGUAGAGCGGCGCACGGGUGAGUAACACGUGGGUAAUCUGCCUGGAAGUCCGGGACAACCUGCCGAAAGGCUGGCUAAUACCGGAUAAGCCCACGGGGUCCUCGGAUCCCGAGGGAAAAGAUGGCCUCUGCAUGCAAGCUAUCCCUUCCAGAUGAGCCCGCGGCCCAUCAGAUCGUUGGCGGGGUAAUGGCCCACUAAGGCAACGACGGGUAGCUGGUCUGAGAGGACGAUCAGCCACACUGGAACUGAGACACGGUCCAGACUCCUACGGGAGGCAGCAGUGGGGAAUUUUGCGCAAUGGGCGAAAGCCUGACGCAGCAACGCCGCGUGUGUGAUGAAGGUCUUCGGAUCGUAAAGCACUUUCGACCGGGACGAAAACCCGCUGGCCAAUAUCCAGCGGUUUGACGGUACCGGGAGAAGAAGCACCGGCUAACUCUGUGCCAGCCGCCGCAGAA